rnacentral:lncRNA from 1 species
CUUUGCGAAGCACGUGGGGCGAGCACGCGCGCGAGCUCGCGUCUGUUUUGAUGCGUAAAACUCAUCAAGAUCUACUGGAUGAACACACAUCCAGGUAAAGACCCUUCAGUUACUCUGAAACACCUGGGCUCAAGUUAUGAUUUGCCACGUGCUGGCUCUAAUGGUGCAGCUAAUUGCUCAGGUUGUUUAGCUGUGAGGAAUGCUGUAGAGGAGUGCGUGCGCAGGGCUGCUCCCUUUGCUUGAUCGCCAAGAGCACAUCAUAAUGGGCGGAGGGGAAGAGAAAGAAGAGGAUUUCUUUCUCCCACCAAAUUGUAGCCAAUUUAAGGACAAAGCGCUACCCUCUAGUUCGUCAGAGUAGGAGUCUCACUCAUAAAAGAAGACUGACAGUCGGGCAUCCAAAUCUCAUUCAAGGACGCAAUUUCCAAAUGCUAAUCAUAAUCUGCAGAUGUUGGCCACUGAUACAUGCGCUUAUUUAUUUAUUUCCUAGGCGCGUCUGUGCCCAUUUGGACGGCUUGUGAUAUCUGAAACAAAGAAGGGGAAAAUCCCUCCUUUUUGAGGCGCGCGGACAUCUGCACCGCCGGUGGAGGGACCGCGCACGCCGGCCGGCGCCGGAGCGCGUGCACGCACACGGGAAGUGCUGGACACGUGCACGCACACACACACAGACACACACGUGCAACGCCGAACCCCUUCCUCCUUUUCUACUCUCCCCUUCUCUUCGGGUCGUUUUAGAGUAGCUCAGAUGUGUCAUCAGACAUUGGUUUGCAUCUGAACCUGAGGGAAAAAAGAAAUACUUGACAGAAAGGUAUAUAAAAAGAGGACACUCUGAAUUUUUGACAUUCUUCGCACAGCUGCUUCAAAAUGAGUAGGAUGGAGAGGUAAGGGAAAAGCAACUCCAAGACACGGUUUUGUUUAUUUGCUGCCUUUUCUCCCUUCCCUCUUUCAGGGAGAUGGAGGCUAGCGCGAGGCCACAACUCACUCAUCCUUGUAUAGAGGGACUCAGGCGCAGGGCCGUGAAAGAGAAAUAGGCACGGCUAAAUGAAUUCUGGGAUCUGUUCUAUUCAGCCCAACUCAAAAAGGAUAACCCUUUUAUCCAUUUAGAUACCAAAUGCAAGGUGAAACCCAACUCAACUUGUCAGCUAGGUGACAUUAAAUACACGGCUUCCUUUGAUGGGUAAGUAGCAACCAGAGCUUUUAACCACUAAUUAAAGUGUGCGCCCGCUGUGUUUGUGAGCGUGUGUUUUUGGUUUCGA